ACUGCUCAGUAACACGUGGAUAACCUGCCCUUGGGUCCGGCAUAACCCCGGGAAACUGGGGAUAAUUCCGGAUAACGCAUAUGUGCUGGAAUGCUUUAUGCGUCAAAUGGAUUCGUCUGCCCAAGGAUGGGUCUGCGGCCUAUCAGGUAGUAGUGGGUGUAAUGUACCUACUAGCCGACAACGGGUACGGGUUGUGAGAGCAAGAGCCCGGAGAUGGAUUCUGAGACAUGAAUCCAGGCCCUACGGGGCGCAGCAGGCGCGAAAACUUUACAAUGCGGGAAACCGUGAUAAGGGGACACCGAGUGUCAGCAUCAUAUGCUGGCUGUCCAGGUGUGUAAAAUACACCUGUUAGCAAGGGCCGGGCAAGACCGGUGCCAGCCGCCGCGGUAACACCGGCGGCCCGAGUGGUGAUCGUGAUUAUUGGGUCUAAAGGGUCCGUAGCCGGUUUGGUCAGUCCUCCGGGAAAUCUGAUAGCUCAACUAUUAGGCCAUCGGGGGAUACUGCCAGACUUGGAACCGGGAGAGGUAAGAGGUACUACAGGGGUAGGAGUGAAAUCUUGUAAUCCCUGUGGGACCACCUGUGGCGAAGGCGUCUUACCAGAACGGGUUCGACGGUGAGGGACGAAAGCUGGGGGCACGAACCGGAUUAGAUACCCGGGUAGUCCCAGCCGUAAACGAUGCUCGCUAGGUGUCAGGCAUGGCGCGACCGUGUCUGGUGCCGCAGGGAAGCCGUGAAGCGAGCCACCUGGGAAGUACGGCCGCAAGGCUGAAACUUAAAGGAAUUGGCGGGGGAGCAC
rnacentral:rRNA from 1 species